rnacentral:rRNA from 1 species
AACAAACGCUGGCGGCGUGCAUAACACAUGCAAGUCUAACGGGAAUGUCGGCUUCGGCUGACUAGUACCGUGGCGAACGGGUGAGUAACACGUGGGUAAUCUAACCUCGAGUUUGGGAUAACCUUGCGAAAGCGAGGCUAAUACCGAAUAAGACCACGCCCUGUACGCAGGGUGCGGUAAAAGGUGGCCUCUUCCUGAAAGCUAUCACUUGAGGAUGAGCCCGCGGCCUAUUAGCUAGUUGGUGGGGUAACGGCCCACCAAGGCGACGAUGGGGAGCCGGCCUGAGAGGGUGUACGGCCACACUGGCACUGAGAUACGGGCCAGACUCCUACGGGAGGCAGCAGUGGGGAAUUUUGCGCAAUGGGGGAAACCCUGACGCAGCAACGCCGCGUGAGUGAUGAAGGCCUUCGGGUCGUAAAGCUCUUUUAGUGGGGAAGAAUCCCACCUGGAAGAAUACUCCAGGUGUCUGACGGUACCCACAGAAAAAGUUCCGGCUAACUACGUGCCAGCCGCCGCCGUAAGAC